rnacentral:rRNA from 1 species
UACGUAGGGGGCAAGCGUUGUCCGGAUUUAUUGGGCGUAAAGAGCGUGUAGGCGGCCAUGUAGGUCCGUUGUGAAAACUCGAGGCUCAACCUCGAGACGCCGAUGGAAACCAUGUGGCUAGAGUCCGGAAGAGGAGAGUGGAAUUCCUGGUGUAGCGGUGAAAUGCGCAGAUAUCAGGAGGAACACCGGUGGCGAAGGCGGGUCUCUGGGCCGAAAUUGACGCUGAGGAGCGAAAGCGUGGGGAGCAAACAGG